AGGACGAACGCUGGCGGCGUGGAUUAGGCAUGCAAGUUGAGCGACGGUUAAGAGCUUGCUCUUAAUACGGAGCAGCGAACGGGUGAGUAACACGUGAACAAUCUGUCCCUUCAUUCCGGAUAAUUGGUCGAAAGGCCUUGUAAUACGGGCGAGGGUCUCUGGAAGGCAUCUUUUGGAGAAGGAAGGCGCAAGCCGUGCAGGGAGGAGUUCGCGGCCUAUCAGUUAGUUGGUGGGGUAAUGGCCUACCAAGACGACGACGGGUAGCUGGU
rnacentral:rRNA from 1 species